GACGAACGCUGGCGGCGUGCCUAAUACAUGCAAGUCGAACGCAGUGGGGACGGGUGAGUAACACGUGGCUAACCUCCCCUCAGAGGGGAUAACACUUGGCAACAGGUGCUAAACCGAUAUUGAUGGCUGGACCCGGGGUGCAUUAGCUAGUUGGGGAGGGAACGGCUCACCAAGGCCACGAUGACUAGCCGACCUGAGAGUGGGAUCGGCCACACGGGGACUGAGACACGGCCCAGACGCCUACGGGAGGCAGCAGUAGGGAAUCUGCGGCAAUGGACGAAAGUCUGACCGAGCAACGCCGCGUGAUUGAAUAAGGUUUUCGGAUCGUAAAGCUCUGUUGUAAGAGAAGCGGUAUCUAACCAGAAAGCCACGGCUAACUACGUGCCAGCAGCCGCGGUAAUUC
rnacentral:rRNA from 1 species